UUUGAGUUCUACAAAUCCUUUUUGUAGUUUUGUAGCUUUUUAAAUGCAAACUAAUGAAAUCAAAUAUUUCUAUAUCAUAUGAAAUAUUUUUUUUCUUUCUAUUAAAUGUUUACACAAACAUUAUAAAAUUUUCUUUUUUCUCUUUCCUAAAUCAAUAUAACAUAAAAAGAAUUGCAACUAUUAUGAAAUGAAAAAUGUUUUGAUCCAGCAAAAGAAAGACAUUCCAUAUCAAAAUUGAACAAAUUCAAAAAUUGAAAAGUACUUAUGGUUUUUAACAGGGUAAAAUAAAAUAUUAUUACAGAAAUUGAACACACCUGGCUCUUAAUGUGAAGAAAGGAAUAAUAAAAUCAAUUUUAACAUGAUUUUUUUCAUGAAAUCAUCAGAUAUACUUAGUCUGGUAUCAAUAUUUGCCAAAAAAUAGCUCUAAACAAUGAACACAUGUCAAUAAAGAAAUUGCCUACCCUCUAUUUGUACAUGAGGUAUAAUCUGGAAUCUUUGGCAAAAUAAAGAGUUUGAGGUAUUUUUAUAUAAGUCUGACUUGGUCACUUAUAAUUUAUAUAAUUAACAAAACAAAUACUAAUAGAAUACAAAUUACAGACCAUAGAUACCAGGAUUAUUUUUAAUAGAAAAAUAGCACAUGCUAAAAGUAAUUGACUUGAUAAUAUUAUUCUUCAGUGAAAAUAACUUUCAUGUUUAUACAAUUCUAGUGUAAUUCUGGACAUAUUUGAUGUUUUUUUCUUCUUUAGAACUGCUGACUGAAUCAAAUACAUAACGUUUGUAACUUGCAAUUUCUGGUUGUUCUGCAUAAUAUUGAUAACAGUACAGAUUUUUUUUAUACCAUAUGAGAAUUUAGACAAUGAAUGUCUUUUCAGUGAUGUCAACAUAUUUGUUAAUUCAAAACUAAUUCAAAAGAUGAAGAGAUAAAAACAAGAAUAGCAAAAGCUGGGCAAGAAAUCAGAGAUUUGCAUAAGAGAUAUAUUUCUUAAUUUAAAAUAAAUUUCCAAAAGUAGUUAAUGAUCUGAACUGCUCAGCUGUGCAUGUGUCAUUAAUGAGAAAAAUCCAUCUUUUCUGUGGAUUGUAACUUGACUUGCUUGAUGAGAAAACUUGUUUGUAAGAAAUUUUGUCUGGUAAAAAAAAAUUGCAUAUUUGAAGUUUUUAGUAUCUUCAUUGGUGAACUUUUCUGUAUUUUCAAAAUUUACUGUUUUUAUUAGCAUUUUUUUGACAAAAGAACAAAAAUUGAUAAAUCUGACAGUCCUAGAUUUAUCAAGUUUUUAAAUUGUUAGAGUGGGGUGCUCAUUUUCGCCACUUCUUUCCAUGUUUUCUACAGUUUAUGUUCAGGUCUAAUGUUUUUGAAGUAUUCUGAUAUUUCUAUAUGAAGAUAACUUCAAAUGCAAAUAUUCUUAAGCUUGAAAACCGGUUUGUUUUAAGAAAUCAUCUGAAAAGUUAGAUUAAAGGGUGUUUGAAAUUUCCAGAUGUUUUGUCAAUGGGGGACACAUAUUCGCCUUUUUUACACAUCUAUUUAAAACCAAAUAACCGCA
rnacentral:lncRNA from 1 species